rnacentral:ncRNA from 2 species
GGAAGUAAAAGUCGUAACAAGGUUUCCGUAGGUGAACCUGCGGAAGGAUCAUUACCGAGUGAGGGCCCUUUGGGUCCAACCUCCCACCCGUGUUUAUUUUACCUUGUUGCUUCGGCGGGCCCGCCUUUACUGGCCGCCGGGGGGCUCACGCCCCCGGGCCCGCGCCCGCCGAAGACACCCCCGAACUCUGUCUGAAGAUUGAAGUCUGAGUGAAAAUAUAAAUUAUUUAAAACUUUCAACAACGGAUCUCUUGGUUCCGGCAUCGAUGAAGAACGCAGCGAAAUGCGAUACGUAAUGUGAAUUGCAAAUUCAGUGAAUCAUCGAGUCUUUGAACGCACAUUGCGCCCCCUGGUAUUCCGGGGGGCAUGCCUGUCCGAGCGUCAUUGCUGCCCUCAAGCCCGGCUUGUGUGUUGGGCCCCGUCCUCCGAUUCCGGGGGACGGGCCCGAAAGGCAGCGGCGGCACCGCGUCCGGUCCUCGAGCGUAUGGGGCUUUGUCACCCGCUCUGUAGGCCCGGCCGGCGCUUGCCGAUCAACCCAAAUUUUUAUCCAGGUUGACCUCGGAUCAGGUAGGGAUACCCGCUGAACUUAAGCAUAUCAAUAAGCGGAGGA